CUCGGCGAUGGGCGUGGUCAAGGCCACCGUGUUCCGGUCCACCCGGUGGUGCUCAAAGGCCCUGGACAUGCUCUUCAGCUUCUGAAAGUUGAGGAAAUGGAGGCAAACAGAGCUCCCUGAGCCUGGCUACUACCUGCAUCAAUGCGGGCUGAGGAGAUGAACUUGUCCAGCUGACAGCGAAG